UCGAGCGCGCGGCCGGCUGCUGGUGCCGUCGGCCACGCCUCAGGCGCUCCGGCUGCCGGCCGUGCCCGUGCUGCUGAUGCAGAACUCAAGUCCGCCCGGCUGGGAUCUGGUGCUGCCGGCCGGCUGGGGCAUGACCUUCUGGGUGGCGCUGCAGUACCAGGGCGCUAGGGCCGGCGCCCUCCGCGAGACCGACCGCAUGGCGCUGGAGAUGGGCCGACUGCGGUUCCCGGCCGAGUUCCCAGACUCUGAGGCCGGCCGGCUGUGGGACGCCGAGGAGAGG